UUUUUUUUUUUUUUUGUUCUCUGUUUUCCGGUGACCAGAAAACUGAGCAAAAAGAUACCCAAGUUGGGUCUGGUGGGUAUCUUCCGAUUCUUGCUCUUGUUUUUUAAUGAGCAAAAUUAGUGGGAGAUUCCAAAUAAUAGAGGAAGAGUUUGAGAUCAGAUAGAAUCAUCCAGAUAGAAGAUAACAGAUGAUGGUUCUGUUUACUUAUGGAAUAUCAAUUUCUCAUAUUUAUCGGUGGGAGAGACUGAGUGAGAGACAGAGAUUAAAGUCUUCGAGACGUGGUGAGUAGGUGGACUCGAGUAUAGUUGAGACUGAUUUUCAAAGACAACUUUUUCGGUGUUGGUUUCCGACCGUCCUUAAUUUUCUGCUAUUUCAUGAAAACUAACAAAUAGAGUUUGGUGAAGUUCAAGUGGACCGGAAUCGUCCUACUAUAGGGGAACACCAUUAAUCAAUUUUGUUUUACAUGAUUUUGUUAUAAAUGAAAAAGAAUUAUGAUUAAUGAUACAGUCAUGAUUUAUUAGUAUAAAAUCUUAAAAAGGAAAUGGCCAUUAAGAAAUUUUUGGUUUCUAUAAAAAAAUAUGUCGACGGCAAGUCCCCUCAUCAUAUGUGGAAAUUGCGAAAUCGGUAGGUUAUUUAUGAUAUACAUACAUGGAGGAAGAUGCUACCGGUUCGUUGGGAGGUGGCAGAGAUAGAGAUCUAGUUUCAAUUAGUGUUGAAUGCCCUUUAUUGUUUCGAGUCAAGGUAUGAUAUUAGACUUACUAGUAGGUCAACAUAUUUAUGAGUUGACUGAAUUAUAAGCUGAUUUCAUGUCUAGUUACUCAUGUUGCUCUUAUGUCAAUACGGCUCAUGAUUCAAAAGUUCAUUAUAAGUAACGUUGCGAGCCUCCGUUGAGAAGCAAAAGAACCUAAGAAAAUUUUGAAUUCAUCGGUAUUUUAGAUAAAAUCUCAACAGUUCAUUUCUGACUAAUUUGGUGCUAAUCUCUUAUAGGGCUGAAUUCAGACGUUGCAUAAUGUGAUAUGUUGAAGUUUACGUAAGAAACUCGUAUGAAUGACUAUAAUGAAAAAUGCACAAAGGAGUACCAUAGUUCCCCAAAUGUAGACCAACAUUACGAAAAGGAAGGAAAACCUUCACCGAACACAUUUGAGAAAAGCACCUCACGCACAACUUGAUCUAGAGUGAGAAAUUGAAAAAUGUUGAAAAAUUAUUCUUGAUUCUAAUAUGCCAUUCUAGAAGCUCCAAAAGCUAGUGAGGUCAUGUAUGAUAUAACUUCGCAUGUAAAAAAAUCAGCUUUUUAUUCAAAAAAUUUAGAUUUUAUAGUGUUUAGCAAAUUAAUGAAAAUCAGCUUUAAAAUAAAUAAAUUACAUGUUAUUGCAAACGCUUUAAGAAACAAUCAGAAUGUUACUUUUAGAAGCUAUUGUCAAUAAAAACACUAAAAAAUAUUACAUUUUGUAUCUGCAUCAUUUUUAGAACUACUAUUACUAAACACAAACCAUUUUAAUUCAUAACUAAUUAUUUUCGUAGUACAACAACUACAUUUUUUCUACUUCUUAAAGUCGCAAUAACAAACUAACCUUGAUUUGAGUUCAAAUUUCCUUAUUUUCACUCAUCCGGGACUUAAAACGUGAAAUAUAAAUUACGUUAUAUGACAUGACACCGAUCCGUAAACGAGUCGCAAGAAACUAUCUGCUACACAUGUCUUUUUUUACAACAAACGGUCAUAAUUCGUAUGACAACUAAAGUUGUAUUGUGCUAAACUAACCCAUAUCUUAGCAAUUCAUGUCUUGUUAUCACACAAUAUAAGAAUGCAAAAAGUCAUAAAGAAACUAGAAAGUUUUGAACAAUUCUUCUACUCCCAUACUAAGCACUUUAGAGUUGUUUCAAAAUGUUUCGAUAGAGCGCGUCCUAGUGACCGACCCUAGCAGACUUGGAGGAGUAUGUUGUGGGAGGACAUAUAUUACAAUAUUGAAGUUCUUCCUAGAGAUGGAGCUCCAAAGACCCAUCUUCGUACCAGCAUCAAGGUUGUGUGAAUCAUCGACAUGAUUAGAAAAAUCCUCCUUAGUUGGAGUGCGGAGAUCGCUCUUCUUGCAGCGGUACACCGACGAAUCAACACAAUCAUGAGAUAUCUUUUGACGAAAGCCUGCAGCUUCUCACUUGGGAGGUUAGUAAACGAAAGCUUACUCUUAUGAGCCAUCCUCUUCUUCUCUCUUAUUCAUCCACUGAGAUUCUCUCUUCUUAAAUAACAAAAUUAUCAUUGAAAUAUCGGCGAUUUAAUCUUUACACAACAUGAGAAUAUCUAAAUAUUGCAAUAUUUGCGCGAAACUCACGAAAUCUUGUUAAUAAAUCAGCCCAUUUCUCUUUAUUGAGAAAUCGAAGAAGCUAUCCAAAAGGUUUUGCCAAGCCUACUCGUAUAUAUGGUCAUUAACUCGGCCCAAACUUAUGAAAUUAACACUAAAGUCUUGGCGUAGCGUAGGUAACAUGAUUCGAACCCAGGUUGUCACAUGUUAUAUCUCACAUUCUCAACCAAUCCUCUUAAGUCUUAAGAUACACUUAAUAGUCUAUUAUAUAAACUCUACAUAUAUUUUCACACUUUUAAACUUUCCUUUCGAAAUUUUAUUAAUAUCACUAUCAAAAUAUCUAUUUUUCUGACAGUCGAAAUUUUCUCGAAACGCGAUAUUUUAGUCCUUAAUUUGAUGCCUAAGCUACUUCGCUCCUCCAAACUGGGCCGGUGUUGGAUCAAACAAACAGAAACUUGAAAGGAGGAGAACGAUACAAGUCAUACAACUACGUUGAUUUUAAACAGAAACUUGAAAAGAGAACGAUACAACUACGUUGGUUUCUAACCCAAUGGAUGCCUAUGUUUGGGCCAAUAUUCCAUUUUCCUUUUUAAUAAUUUUUUUUCUUUCUAGCAGCUAGACAGCUAGUUAACCAAUUGUGAAGCUACACAACUAGGACUUGCAGCGGAAAACGACUACCACGCGUUGCAUGGAGAGGUUAGGUCCUGCAUGCAACUCCGCCGCCCGUAAAUCUCCUACUGACAGCUCUACCCCUCGAUUUGCAGAUACCGAUGUAUAACCCGAGGACAAAACGGUAAUCGUUGAUACUCCGAGCCGGACAUAAAACCAUCCAAGAACAAAGAAGAGAACCACCACCGGAAAAAUGGCCGGACCACCUCUACCUCCACCUCUUCUAACGUGUUUGGUGGGUGUUGCAGUCUUAAUCUGCGCACUAACCCUCUGUGUUGCCCUAGAUGUCAGCCCCCAAGACCCAAUCAUCCACCAAGUCACAGACCAUGAUACUAAUAAGCUCCUUGGAACCGAAAAAGAGUUCAAGAUUUUCAUGGAGAAGUAUGGGAAGAAGUACCCUACUAUGAAGGAGUACAUGCACCGCCUCGGUGUUUUUGCCAAGAACAUGAUCAGAGCCGCCGAGCACCAAGCUCUGGAUCCGACGGCGGUUCACGGCGUCACGCCGUUCUCGGAUCUGGAGGAGGAGGAGUUCAAGAGGAUGUACACCGGCGUAAGAGGUGCGCCCGGCUUAACCAACGGCGGAGGCGGUGCGGGAAGCACGGUUGAGCUUCUGGAUGUUAGCGGGUUGCCUGAGAGUUUUGAUUGGAGAGAAAAAGGAGCUGUUACUGAGGUCAAGAUGCAGGUAGUUAAUGUUACAGUUUCUAAUUUUCGUUUUUUUAUUAUUGUUUUUUUAGGUUGGUACUACACAAUAUAUGUGAUUAACAGUUUCGGACCGUACUUAAAUCCUAGCUUAUUGCAAAUCAAGUUAUGGCAAAUACGAUAUAGAAUUCUCGUAGCUGGUUGUAAAUUACUAAAUUGUGUAAUCUGAAGUCGAUCAGCUGAUCAGGUGCUGCUGGUUCUUUUGUUUAAUUGAUUGUAUAACUAGCUUGUGUUUGAGAGUUUGAAGUUUUGUACAGAAAGAUUUGUCUAAUGGAGCUAGGGUGUUUGUGGAACACGGAAUUUUUCUUCAGGCAAGGCGUUGUAUUGUGAUACUUAAAGCCUCUAAAUCUCUUGUUAUGGAUGCAGGGUGGCUGUGGGUCAUGCUGGGCCUUUAGCACAACAGGAGCUAUUGAAGGAGCCAAUUUCAUUGCCACUGGGAAGCUUGUUAGUCUCAGUGAACAGCAGCUUGUUGACUGUGAUCACCAGGUAAUUAAGCCUAGCCUCUCUGGAAUAUAUUGAAGUACUCAUUUAACUUUAGGGCGAUAAAAAUUUAAUUGAUUGAGCAUAUAUAUAAUAUUUGGCAUGCCUACUUAAUUAGUUUCGUUUAAUGUUUGUGGCAACUAUAAUCAAGUGUGAUGCAAAAGAGAAAGAUGCAUGUGAUCGUGGUUGUGGUGGCGGACUUAUGACAAAUGCCUACAAGUAUCUAAUGGAAAGCAGGAGGGGUUGCAAAGACGAGGUUUCAUACCCUAUACGGGGGAAAAAAGGGGCGAAAUGCAAAUUUAAUCCCUGAAAAAAGUAGCCGUGAGAGUAACCAAUUUCACCACUAUUCCCCUUGAUGAGAAUCAGAUUGCAGCGAACUUGGUCCACAAUGGUCCUCUUGCCAGUGAGUACUAAACCUGAUAAUAUGCUUAAAAAUAGCUAGGCUUUUUAUGUAUCUAUGUGUGCGUACAUAGAACUGCCUUAAGUGUCUUAUUUUCUGAAUAUGAUGUGCACUGUUUAGCAUAUUUAGAUCUGAGUGUAGAUACACCCCACUGAUACAGAAUCUUAAUUGAUGUAUGUAUGCGCAGUUGGCUUGAAUGCUAUGUUCAUGCAAACCUACAUUGGCGGUGUGUCAUGCCCUCUUGUUUGUUUCAAGAAAUGGGUGAACCACGGUGUUUUACUUGUUGGAUAUGGUGAGAGUGGCUUCUCGAUUCUCAGGCUCAGCAACAAGCCGUAUUGGAUCAUCAAGAAUUCAUGGAGCGCAAAAUGGGGAGAACAUGGUUAUUACCGACUUUGCCGAGGCCAUGGCAUGUGUGGGAUGAAUACUAUGGUGUCUGCAGUUGUGACCAGUACUCGGGCAUCCUAGCUGCAUCUCCCGAGAUUAGCUAGUAUACAAUUAUACACUAUAAUAUAUAUAUGCACCUCUCCCUUGUUUUUUCUUAAUCCGAAUUUGAUGUUCCUAUAAUCAUAUUUCAAGAAUAUUAUUGUUAAUAUGCCGAAGUGGAAAGUCUUGUUUACGUCAAAACCAAUUCGAACCAUAUUAUGUUAGCUUUAAAUGCUAGAUUGUCAGACUUCAAAUUUAAGUCGGGAAAAUUUUACAAUGUGUUAAUGUAUGUCAUGUAUUAAUUUUAUCCUAAAAUUGUAAAAUGAGUCUCUAAAAUAGUAAUAUUAGUACUCGAAGUUGUAAUAUAUAUGAGUAGUUGUAAAUUUUAUAGUUACAACAUUAGUCAUCAUGUGUCCUUAAUGUGUCUUUAAAGUAAAUUUUAUAGUUACAACAUUAGUUAUCAUGUGUACUUAAAGUGAUAAAUUGCGUGCUUAAAGUCGUAAUUGAAUCCUUAAAGUGAUUAAAAAAAGUUUUUAUAUCUUUGAGGAUUUGUAUUACAACUUUGAGGACUCAAUUACCAUUUUAAGGACACAUGAGGAUUAAUGUUGUAACUAAUUUUUUUUACAACUUUAAAGACUUAUAUUACAACUUUGAGGACUAGUUAAUAUUACUCCCGUAAAGACUCGAUCAUUUUAUAACUUGAGGACAAAGUUGAUGCAUCACAUGCAUUAACACACCAAAGUUGAUUCUCCACAAGCUUGUUGAAGAACUUGGUAGAAGUUUUGAUUUGUUGAAAGGCUUGAAGACGAGGGUUGAUCAAGGGCCGUAGAGGGUUGACGUUGAUCGAGUUUGGGCCACGAGCAGUUCCAUAUGGUGGUUGCUCUUCGUCUUGUAGUUGGUGAAGAUGUCUGCUAUUUAGCAAUUUGGGACUCUUUGGGAUUUGGCAACUUCUAAGCUUGAGAUUGAUGAAGAAUCGGCUAUUUGGCAACUUGAUGAUUCUUCAACGGUUUUGGGAGAAUUCUGAGUUCUCGGGAGUAAUUUUUUUCUCUUGUCCGGAAGUCCUUAUCUUGAUAUGAGAGGGGGUAUUUAUGGUGUCGAUGCUCCUCCGUAAAUAGAAUGCAUUAAAGUCACAACUUUAAUUGUAUUUCCUUAAUGAUAUAAUUAAAUCAAUCACUUUUGAUUGAUUGAUUCAAUUAUUCAAUUUACUAUAAUUAAAUCAAUCAAUCUUAAUUGAUCGAUUUAAUUAUGACCGAUAAGGUAUUUCACCAAUUUGAUUAAAUUCCGACUUCCUUUUCGAUAAUCGAUUUGAUUUGAUUGAUGUUUGAUUAUCGAUUGACAUUUAAUAUUUGAUUUUAGUCGGGAUUGAUGAUUUUGUUGUCGACCGACCAUUAUCAAGCCGCCAUGUGUUAUUUCCGAAGACUUUUCAACUUUGCUGACUCACGAGCCACGUAUGUAAUUUGUCAGGCCCAUGGGUUGUAUGAAUAAUUUAAUAAUUAUUAUUCUCAUUAAAUUUUAUGCGUCUACAAAUACCCCCACUUUAAGGUGUGUUGUAGUCAUGUUGUUGUCACGUGUCAGAGGUGCGACUUGAAGUUAUUUUUGAUGACACUUGUGGCGUGUUUUGCCAUCCACUCGUUUUUACGUCUGAAAUAUUGGUCCGUACCAUGAUGACAUUUUUGUUGCCUUUGAAAUUUGUAUUUUGAACGCUUGAGAAUCAUGCAUUGCGACCUUUCCAUAUGUUUAGAAUACAUGAGCAAUUUGCAUGCUUAGUGGAUAUGAUCUUCAUUUGAACAACUUCCAUACGUGGCUUUAAAUUUACCCGUCUCGCAACUAUUUUCAAUUGGUAGGAUUUGAAUGAGAGAUGAAAGCUUUUCUUUUCUUUUCUUAUCGAUUGAUGCGUGGCUGACAUUUCCUUCAUUGGUAUAAAUAAUUACCACCUUCUAAAUGAGUUUGGUCUUCUACAAGUAAGAAAUCGUGUAAUGGCUUGAUGACUUCUUGACCAAAUAGAAAAGUGAACGCAUGAUGACAUUAUAAAAUUGUACUGUAGGGUUUUGCCCUAAUCACUGUAUUCUCUUCCGUAGCUAGCCGCCCGCCCGUACUUCUUGUAAUUCUUUCUUCCUUCUUCUUUUUCUUUUUCUUUUUAUUUUUUUAUUUUACUGUAGGCCUCAGUCGUGAGUGAAGUUUGGUACGAAAAUAGGUCCAACCUUGUACCGCGAACUUGACAACGAAAUUGUGGAGGCAGGAUCAAUGCGAUGGUGCCAUGCAAUUGCGUUGUCGUAAUCCUCUCUAUUGUUUGAUUAUUGAUUUUACUAUCGCAUGCCUCCAUGCUUACUGACCCAUCCUUAUGCAUAGUGUAGUCGAUAUAUUUUUUUUCAGUUGCGGCUGAAGGGUCAUCUUUUCGGCAAGCACAGUUGAAGAAAACCCACGAGGUACGCACAGUUGAAGAAAACCUUCGAGAGACCAGAGCCUUGAGGUACUACUUUUGUUUUAGUUGAUUUUCUUAAUCCUUUGGCUUGUCCAUAUGCUUUCCGGAAGGAAACAAAGAUUGUCAAGAGUGACAACCCUCGUUUUUCAUGGUGGGUGAGCUUACUCUUUAAUCAACUUUGAUUGUCAUCUCAUUAUGCAAAGCGGCAAUUUUUUUUCUUCGCCAAGUUCGGCAGCAGCAUGGUACUAACUCUUUUUUCUAUUUUUCUUUUCAGAAUUUUGAUGGCAAAUUGAAGAACGCGAACACCUAACCGCUUGGUUUCUUUUACGUCUUGGACGUGAGAUAAACCGUUGAAAGUGUUUAGGCUUUACGUACCCUGACAGUAAUUGAAGAACAAGAACACCUAACCGCUUGAUUUAUUCCACGUUUAAGAUGUGGGAUAAAUUGCUUAAAGUGUUUAGGUUUUGCGUAGACGUAUACUAUUCCGCAUGGUGUUCUCCAAGAGUUUCAAGAAGGACACAAACAUCAUCUUUGAAGAUAUCGAGGAUAUUGAAAGUGAUGGCACCACCUCUCAUCUAAGCUCGCUCAUCUCUAACAACUUCUCGCUCAUCCUUGAUUUAACUAAUAACUUUGAGAUCAUGGGUUCAAACCUCACAGACAUAUGUAAGGUGCGUGAGUUAUUUAAUAAAAGUUUUUUUUUUUUAAAGAGCUCGCUCAUCAUGAUUUCACCUCUGUGAGCUUCGAGAAAUUUUUAAAUGCUACGGGAGGACCAUGUGGCAGUCUAACGUGGUCCUACGAUCCAAUCAAAUUUAGACAUGUGGAUUUUUUACAACUAAAAUAUAAACAAAUAUUUUCUAUUUUUUGUGAAAUGACAUUCAUGGGUAUUUAGCAAGUUCAAAUUAGGGUCUAGGGUAUAGGGUUUAAAGUUUAGGGUUAGAGUUUAGGGUAUAGGGUUUAGGGUUUAGGGUUUAGGGUUUGGGGUUUAGGGUUUAGGGCUUAGGGUUUAGUAUUAAAAAAACAACAAAAAAUCUAAAAUGGUCUUUGACAAAAUAGCUGAAAUAAUUUUUCGUAAAGAAAAUCUACAUGUCUAAAUUUGAUUGGAAAGAAGGCCCACGUCAGACUGCCACGUGGUCCUCCCGUAGCACUGAAAAAUUUCUCAUGAGCUUCAUUGACGUUUCUUCAACGUGGUGGUUGAUUCAAUUAUUUAAUUUACCAUAAUUAAAUUAAUAAUUAAAUUCAGUUUAUCUCUUUAAACUUUAAGUCGAAAAUUAGUUUGAUCCCUGAUUUUUUUUUUUUAUUUCACGUCAGUCUAUAUACUUUCACAAUUACAUCACUGUAGUCUAAAAUUUGAAUUUGGCGCUGAACAUGACUCUGUUGAUGUAGACCCGACAACAUGGCCCCAUUUUUAAGAUAUUAAAUUUUAAUUUGAACAUAAUGUCCAAACUACCCUUAUCUUCUUUUUUAGGAGAACAAAAAAUUAAUGUUGGGUGGGCUGGGUUUGAAGCCUAGACCUUAUCUUUUUUUUUUUUAAUCACGUCUGACUCUGCUGAUGUAGACCCGACAGCAUGGCCUCACUUUUAAGAUAUUAAAUUUUAAUUUGAACAUAAUGUCCAAACUACCCUUAUCUUCUUUUUUUAGGAGAACAAAAAAUUAAUGUUGGGUGGGCAGAGUUCGAAGCCUAGAGCUUGCUGUCAAAUACUAUGCUCCAAACCACUGGAGUAACUAUUGCUCAUAUACCUUUUAGUACAUCUAUAUUUAUUAGUACGAAAAAAUGAAAGGAAAAUAAUAAAUAAUAAAACUAUUUGUGAUUGUGUUCCUACCAUUCACGCCCAGACCUUUACUCCAUGCCUUCACUGAAGGUCAUAAUCCCAGAAUUUUUUUUUCUUUCAGUUUGUUUAUCCUCCUCUUCUUUUUCUUCUUUUUCCUUCAAAUCAAACUAUCAAAGAAAUCACGCUGCAAAUUCCGACCGGGAGGAUGAAGGGUGAGACGGCUUCUUCGUCGUCGGGGAAGCUAAGGAGCUUAAGGAUUGUUUCUGACGAUUCUUGAGCUUGGCAGAAGAGGGGUUUGAUAGGAAAUUCGGCAUCGAUGCGAUGGCGGAACUUCUCUGCUUUUGAGGAGCUUUGUGGCUGGAUUGGUGGGGUGGGGGGGGGGGGGGGGGGGGGAUUUGGGGGUUUGGGGUUUUCAAUGAAUUGGCUUGGUGGUCGACGGCGAUUCGGAGGUUGAAAUUGAUGGGGUGGCAUCCUCGAGGCUGCGUUCGAGGCCGGGAUCAGAGGGGUGAGGCGGAGGGACUAGGUCGUGGUCGCCUAAAGUUUAUUUUAUUUUAUUUUUUUUCCCUAGUCUCUUUAUUUCAAAAUGUCUGUUUUGUCCUUCUUAUGGGUCAUCCUGUCUGGUCCACAUCAGCAGAUGAUGUCAUGUUCGGAGUCAAAUUCAAAAUUUUAGACCACAUUGAUAUAAUUGUGAAAGUACAAGAACUGACGUGAUAAAAAAAAAUCAAGACCAAACUGAUUUUCGAACAAAAAAUUUGAGGGAGUAAACUGAAUUUAAUCCUUAAAUCAAUCAGUCUUAAUUAAUCGAUUUAAUUAUGACCGAUAAAGUAUUUCACUAAUUUGAUUAAAUUCCGACUUCAUUUUUAAUAAUCGAUUUGAUUUGAUUGAUGUCUGAUUAUCGAUUAAUGUUUAAUAUUUGAUUUUAAUUAG
rnacentral:lncRNA from 1 species